rnacentral:sRNA from 1 species
AAAAGAAAUUAGCCGAAUGCCAUUAGGCAGCGGGGGAUUUAUUUUGGGGUGAAUCUAGAUAGUUUGUUUACUUGAUUUUCAAAUUGCUAUCUAGUAGGGACGCUCUCUUCCCGAACCCGACAACUAACCUCGUAGGCGUUAGAGAGGUGGAAC